UACGUAGGGUGCGAGCGUUAAUCGGAAUUACUGGGCGUAAAGCGUGCGCAGGCGGUGCGCCAAGCUCGAUGUGAAAGCCCCGGGCUUAACCUGGGAAUUGCAUUGAGGACUGGCGUGCUCGAGUGCGGCAGAGGGGGGUGGAAUUCCACGUGUAGCAGUGAAAUGCGUAGAGAUGUGGAGGAACACCAAUGGCGAAGGCAGCCUUCUGGGCCAACACUGACGCUCAUGCACGAAAGCGUGGGGAGCAAACAGG
rnacentral:rRNA from 1 species